GUGAGGACGACCUCACCACUCCAGUUCACCCGGGAACGGCCCCA
rnacentral:ncRNA from 1 species